GCAGACGGGUGAGUAACACGUAGGUAACCUGCCCUCAAGACGGGGAUAACGCCUGGAAACGGGCGCUAAUACCGGAUGACCUUAGUUGGGGAAGCACCGGCUAAGGAAAGGCAAUAGCGCUUGAGGAGGGGCCUGCGGCCCAUCAGUUAGUUGGUAGGGUAACGGCCUACCAAGGCGAAGACGGGUAGGGGGUGUGAGAGCACGGCCCCCCACACUGGGACUGAGACACGGCCCAGACUCCUACGGGAGGCAGCAGCGGGGAAUAUUGCGCAAUGGACGGAAGUCAGACGCAGCGACGCCGCGUGGGUGAAGAAGGCCUUCGGGUUGUAAAGCCCUUUUCUGUGGGAAGAGGAAGGACGGUACCAUAGGAAUAAGCGUCGGCUAACUACGUGCCAGCAGCCGCGGUAAGACGUAGGACGCGAGCGUUAUCCGGAUUUGCUGGGCGUAAAGCGUGUGUAGGCGGCGUGACAAGUUGGGCGUGAAAGCCCCGUGCUCAACGCGGGGAGGCCGCACAAUACUGUCAGGCUAGAGGGCAUCAGAGGGGUGUGGAAUUCCCGGAGUAGCGGUAAAAUGCGCAGAUAUCGGGAGGAACACCGGUGGCGAAAGCGGCACCCUGGGGUGCACCUGACGCUGAGAGACGACAGCUAGGGGAGCGAACAGGAUUAGAGACCCUGGUAGUCCUAGCCGUAAACGAUGGAUGCUAGGUGUGGGAGUGAAGAACUUCUGUGCUGCAGCGAACGCGAUAAGCAUCCCGCGUGGGGAGUACGGCCGCAAGGUUAAAACUCAAACGAAUUGACGGGGACCCGCACAAGCAGCGGAGCGUGUGGUUUAAUUCGAUGCUACAAGAAGAACCUUACCUGGGAUUGACAUAUGGGUGGUAGUGAGCCGAAAGGCAAGCGACCCUUCGGGGAGCGUAUACAGGUGCUGCAUGGCGGUAGUCAGCUCGUGCCGUGAGGUGUCGGGUUAAGUCCAGUAACGAGCGCAACGCCUGUCCUUAGUUACAAGUGUCUAAGGGGACUGCCGGCGGGAAGCCGGAGGAAGGUGGGGAUGACGUCAAGUCAGCAUGGUCCUUAUAUCCAGGGCGACACACACGCUACAAUGGUCGGU
rnacentral:rRNA from 1 species